rnacentral:ribozyme from 1 species
UCUGGACCACAAGAACAUGCGAUCACAAUUUAUUAUGCACUUCAUUGAGCACCUUCUUAACUGGGAUUUCGUGAACGCGAAUCUGGCGAAAAUCGACAUGUCUGGUGGGAAGGGAAAGAAAGAAGAGAUGGUUGAGAUAUAGGAGCAAAACAAGCGUAUUGGUUGUUAAAGUUUAAUUAUUAGGUAAGCCUUUUGCGGGGAAAUCCGACCCUUUUAUGAAUAAACGGCCGAUUUUUAUG